UACAGCUAGAGAUGAAAUGCAAACCAA
rnacentral:piRNA from 1 species